GCGGUAAUAGCCUAGUGGUUAAGGAGCUGGGCUAGCGAGCCUGAAAAGUUGUCGGUUCAAUUCCCGUUUUCCACC
rnacentral:tRNA from 1 species